UCUUAUAGAUGACCAAAGAAAGUGGUUUCUUGAGCUGGAAUCUACUCCUGGUGAAGAUGCUGUGAA
rnacentral:pre_miRNA from 1 species